UACGGGGGGAGCAAGCGUUGUUCGGAUUUACUGGGCGUAAAGGGCGCGUAGGCGGUCAGCACAAGUCAGUUGUGAAAUCUCCGGGCUUAACCCGGAACGGUCAACUGAUACUGUGCGACUAGAGUGCGGAAGGGGCAACUGGAAUUCUCGGUGUAGCGGUGAAAUGCGUAGAUAUCGAGAGGAACACCUGCGGCGAAGGCGGGUUGCUGGGCCGACACUGACGCUGAUGCGCGAAAGCCAGGGGAGCGAACGGG
rnacentral:rRNA from 1 species